rnacentral:rRNA from 1 species
GACGAACGCUGGCGGCGUGCCUACUACAUGCAAGUAGAACGCUGAAGAGAGGAGCUUGCUCUUCUUGGAUGAGUUGCGAACGGGUGAGUAACGCGUAGGUAACCUGCCUUGUAGCGGGGGAUAACUAUUGGAAACGAUAGCUAAUACCGCAUAACAAUGGAUGACACAUGUCAUUUAUUUGAAAGGGGCAAUUGCUCCACUACAAGAUGGACCUGCGUUGUAUUAGCUAGUAGGUGAGGUAACGGCUCACCUAGGCGACGAUACAUAGCCGACCUGAGAGGGUGAUCGGCCACACUGGGACUGAGACACGGCCCAGACUCCUACGGGAGGCAGCAGUAGGGAAUCUUCGGCAAUGGGGGCAACCCUGACCGAGCAACGCCGCGUGAGUGAAGAAGGUUUUCGGAUCGUAAAGCUCUGUUGUAAGUCAAGAACGAGUGUGAGAGUGGAAAGUUCACACUGUGACGGUAGCUUACCAGAAAGGGACGGCUAACUACGUGCCAGCAGCCGCGGUAAUACGUAGGUCCCGAGCGUUGUCCGGAUUUAUUGGGCGUAAAGCGAGCGCAGGCGGUUUGAUAAGUCUGAAGUUAAAGGCUGUGGCUCAACCAUAGUUCGCUUUGGAAACUGUCAAACUUGAGUGCAGAAGGGGAGAGUGGAAUUCCAUGUGUAGCGGUGAAAUGCGUAGAUAUAUGGAGGAACACCGGUGGCGAAAGCGGCUCUCUGGUCUGUAACUGACGCUGAGGCUCGAAAGCGUGGGGAGCGAACAGGAUUAGAUGCCCUGGUAGUCCACGCCGUAAACGAUGAGUGCUAGGUGUUGGAUCCUUUCCGGGAUUCAGUGCCGCAGCUAACGCAUUAAGCACUCCGCCUGGGGAGUACGACCGCAAGGUUGAAACUCAAAGGAAUUGACGGGGGCCCGCACAAGCGGUGGAGCAUGUGGUUUAAUUCGAAGCAACGCGAAGAACCUUACCAGGUCUUGACAUCCCGAUGCUAUUUCUAGAGAUAGAAAGUUACUUCGGUACAUCGGUGACAGGUGGUGCAUGGUUGUCGUCGGCUCGUGUCGUGAGAUGUUGGGUUAAGUCCCGCAACGAGCGCAACCCCUAUUGUUAGUUGCCAUCAUUCAGUUGGGCACUCUAGCGAGACUGCCGGUAAUAAACCGGAUGAAGGUGGGGAUGACGUCAAAUCAUCAUGCCCCUUAUGACCUGGGCUACACACGUGCUACAAUGGUUGGUACAACGAGUUGCGAGUCGGUGACGGCAAGCUAAUCUCUUAAAGCCAAUCUCAGUUCGGAUUGUAGGCUGCAACUCGCCUACAUGAAGUCGGAAUCGCUAGUAAUCGCGGAUCAGCACGCCGCGGUGAAUACGUUCCCGGGCCU